rnacentral:rRNA from 1 species
GAUGAACGCUGGCGGCGUGCUUAACACAUGCAAGUCGAGCGGAGAUAAAUUGAAAGCUUGCUUUUAAUUUAUCUUAGCGGCGGACGGGUGAGUAACGUGUGGGCAACCUGCCUCAUACAGAGGGAUAAUCAUGUGAAAACGUGACUAAUACCGCAUGUCGUUUCGGGAGGGCAUCCUCCUGAAAGAAAAGGAGCAAUCCGGUAUGAGAUGGGCCCGCAUCUGAUUAGCUAGUUGGUGAGAUAACAGGCCACCAAGGCGACGAUCAGUAGCCGACCUGAGAGGGUGAUCGGCCACAUUGGGACUGAGACACGGCCCAAACUCCUACGGGAGGCAGCAGUGGGGAAUAUUGGGCAAUGGGCGCAAGCCUGACCCAGCAACGCCGCGUGAAGGAAGAAGGCUUUCGGGUUGUAAACUUCUUUUAAGAGGGAGGAGCAGAAGACUGUACCUCUAGAAUAAGCCACGGCUAACUACGUGCCAGCCGCCGCGGUAA